UCAGAGAUGAAUUAACAGCUUGCUUCCUUGACAUUGCGCUGUUCUUCUAGCUUCGUCAGCAUUAGGAAUUGCUUGUGAGCCAUAAAUGACAUAUUAAAAUUACUUUACUCGGAAUUCAGUUAAUUAGGAUCCAUUUUUAUAGUAAAAAAAAAAAUACAUGAUAUUCGUUAUUUGUCUGGAGGAAUUUUUUAUAUUGCAAUCAAAUAUGACAAAUGCUACUAGUCUUAGCGGAUGCAUAUAAGCUUUUCAAAAUGAGAGAGUCUUACUUAACGCGUAUAUUGCAAUCAAAUGUCUAGAUAACACGAUAGUAAGUUUGGAUGUCUUCUUUGUUUGUCUAUUAGUUUGAUAUCGAUGUUGAUCCGCUGUCAUUCUAGGAGUUGUCCAAUCUUGUCUUCGUUGUGUUAAAUCCAUCAAUUCUUGGAAUCGCAAGGAAGAGCAUGAACUGUCAGAAAGUAUGCAAUCAAAAAUAGUUUUCAGAGAGUAUAAUCACUUUCUAAUUUCUAUGCUCACUACGAAAAAAAAAAAAAGAAAAAAAAUAGGAUCUACCAUCUCCCUAGAUUCUUGUUUUACCCUGUCGAAUGGAUCUUCAGGAUAAAGAAACCUACCCUCCUCUAUAAUGUUAUCACAUAUAGAAUCAACUAUGUCUUGAAUAUUAGAAUUUUUCAACAAUAAACUCAACGUCAAGUCGAGCUAGUUCUAGUUCAUGCAUAUGAAAAUAUCCAUACGCUGCAACUGCACUUGUCCUCCUCCUCCUCUUAUUAUCACAUUUGGGUUUUAUAAACAAACAACACAUAAGCGGCCCAACAGCAAUUCAGCAGCAAACAAGAACAUGGCCCAACAACCAUAGAAUUGUCCAACUAUAGCUGAAUGAUCUCUUUCAUUGUCUAGCUUAGAAUAUAAGGAUCUUGUUUAACUUAGAAUAGAAGGUUCUUUCCAUUCCACUAGCUUAUAUAAAUAAAUGUGAUUGGCAAGGAAUUAUACGGAGAAGAAAAUUUCCAAAUAUUGUCUUUGGUUUUUUACAGUUCAUAGCAAAAUGAAAUAUAAACAAAUUAGAAGCCUUUUUAUCAUUCACAGUACGUUGAUGUGUCAGCCCCGAAUGUAUAAGUCUUUUGAAAUAUGAGUCAUUUUUUAUUUGAAAAUGCUAAAGAUAAAAUAGACAUAUCACUGCUAAUACGCCUGGCUAGUUAAUGCAUUACUCGACGUUUCAUCAAAUGAUUCUUGUUUUUUCCCCUUCUCCAGUUACUUGAGUAAGGAGGAUGCCGUUUAGAGCUGCACAUGUUCACCCUUAUGCUUUGAUAACGUGUAGAAUCUUAUUGCCCUACGGAAAUGCAGUCUCUAAUAGAAUAUCCAAGGUGUAACACCUAAUUUUGUUCCUCCCGAAACUUUGUUUUAUCCAUUUUUAGUUCAACCUACCACGAGCCCUUACUCCGUGUGAUUAUCCCUCCAUAAAAAUACAAAAAUAACAACCCCUAACUAAUUUUAUCUUAUCCUAACAACCAUCCCUAUCCCACUCCACACCCCUACCUAACCUAGCCCCACCCUUUCACGUGAUUCCCCAUUUUCCCUUUCAUAAUUACACUACACUACAAUAAAGAUGGGAUCCACAGUAACAAAGGCAAAAGAGGGUGAAUACAAUAUAUAUAUAUAUACACUUACAUAAUUCAAAAAAAAAAAAAAAAGGAAAUGACAUAUAUAGGGAGAGGGCCCACGGGAUUUUCUUGAAUUGAAGAUAUACAUCAUUUCUUUUUCUUCUUCGGGGGGGGGGGGGGGGGGACUGACAACAGCAGAUACGCCAUUUUCUUUAGCUUUCUUCUUCCUCACAACACAUACACUACACACAGCUUCAACGCGCACACACAGUCACGAUUGAAAAGAGAGAGAGCUACGAGAGGGAGGGGGAGAAAUUGGGAGAAACCAAAAAGAGAGGGAGAGGUGAGGAUCGAAAGGGGAGGUAGAGUCGCGUUUGGUUACUGUUCCGGCGACGUCCUUCACCGGAAGGGGCCCUCAUCACCGAUCCCAGUCAAAAUUAGCUCAAAUCACCCGCAAACCCAUCGUAAAUCAAUGGUUAAACAGCCCACCUCCACCAGAAAUCAAUAGUUGAGCCUACCGGUAAAACCCACUUCCGUUUCCGGUGAAAUCUCGUCGGAAAACAUUAUUUCGCUGACUGUCGAGAUCCAUCGAAACUUUGACGAGUUCGAACUUCACCGAAAAUAGCAAAUCCAACGAGACCCGUUGCAAACUGAGUUCGAAAUUUGAGCUUUGGGUUUUAUUUUUUGUGGUUUUCUCCGCUGUUUUAGGGGGUUUUGAUCGAGUUGGAAAGUUCGUAGUUGAGGUUCGAAUUGAGGUUCUUUGGUGCAUGGAAAAUCGUCAUCGAGGUCCAAUUCUACUCUUUACCUCUUUUUGUUUUAUUGUUGAUGGUAUCCGAUGCAUUGAUUUUAAUAUUGUGUGUUGGUUGAUUCGUGAUGAUGUGAAUUGUUGUUGUUCUGGUUCGGUAUUUGAUUCCCUUGAUUGUGGAUUGAUUAUGGAUUAUGUGAUGAAAUGAUAUCUCGUUUGAGAAUUAAAAUUGAUUGUUGUGGGGCGGAAGUUAAAAGUUGAUAAAAAUGAUUUUUGUUGUUUUGAUUCAUUGAUAUCGAACUUGAUAGUAUCCUGAUAGGUCGACUUGGAUAGGCAAAAUAUUUAGGUGCGGGUAGGCAAAAGUUAGGAGUGAUGUGUUGAUUCCAUGCGGUGAAUGUUGAAAUGUGUGUUGAAUGGUUUUGUUUUAUCACUUUUGGAUCAAUUGUACUAUUUGGCCGGGGAAUGCCCCGACGUAUCUGUUUAUCUUUAUUCAUUGGGGAAUGCCCUGAGGUAUUUUGUACUCGGAGGGCGUUCGUGAUGAAGUCUCGAGGCGUCGGGUAAAGCACGGGAGCGUAGUUAGUAUUAGUGUAGGUUAAAUAGGAUUUAUUUUUGCAUUUUUCUAUUUUGGACUGUAUAAAUUGGACUGGACACUGUACUAUUGAUUCUUUUUGUUUUGUUUGUUUAUUUGAUUGUUUUAUGUGUUUUGUGUAGGUUGUACAUUCAUAGUGUCAAAAUUAGCCGAUACGCUCCACCAAGCGAUUGUGGUCGAACCACGGGAUCGAGGGGUGCCUAACACCUUCCCCUCGGUCAACAGAAUUUCUUAGCUGAAAUCUCUGUUCGCAAAUCAGUUUAAAGAGAAAUGGUUUUGAAAAGGAUUUUUCAAUGGUGACUUGACACACCAGAUUAUGCCAAGUGGCGACUCUGAUUUCAAAUGUAAAAACAAUCCUUCUUCGAAACAAAUUGUUUUCUUUUGUCACUUAAUAAUAAAAGCCCUUUCGAACCCAAAACAAAUCUUUUUUCGAUUAAAAAAGGGGUGUGACAGCUCUGGCGACUCUGUUGGGGACUUUUCAGAACUCGAGCUUAUUGUGGAGUCGUAUCGGCUUUGUUUGGCAUUACGAGUGUAUAAGCAUUAUUUGUGAUGUGUUAUUGUUAUCACUUUGGUGCGAUUUCGUGCUCUUUGUUUACAGUAUUUAUCUUAUGUGUUAUCGCCUUAUAUCUGGCAUCAUGAGUCUACCCCCAGGACUUCUUUCUACAACAAGUCUGUAGUACACGUGUUGUACACGACCUCUAGUUGAGUCACCCUUAUUUUGGGGGGAGGGGGGAGCCGUCGGUGUUAUGGAGUAGGUGGAAAGCAAAGCAGCCACUAUCGAUCAUACGCUCCCCGAACAGCCUUGUUAGUGAACCCCAACGUAGGUCAGCCUUUAGGUCAUGCUUAUGUGCAUCAUAUUGAGACUUAGCGGGGCCUACUUGGUCCUUUGUGAGAGGAAAAUCGUGUUAACAUUCUCCCUUGAAAAGACAAUCACCUCGACUGUUGUCUGCGAGCAAACUGUAAGUGAAGAGAAAUGCAUCUCUUUUGUGUGGAAUUUGACAGUAAUACUCUUUGAUCAGAAUAUAUGUGACUACAAUUUUUUUGUUGUUGGCUAACCGUGGUGUCUAGGCCAGCUGUCGCGCGCCUCGACUAAAUUCACGGGAUACCUGCCACCUCCCACCAGCAACAGAUAUCAAGUAACUUUUUUCCCCAAGGCUAGGACAGAUGGAAAGAAUCACCUAGUGUUCAGUGUUUUUUGUCUCUGCUUAGGUUUGAACCUGGGAAGCCUUGGGUGUAUAUCUGGACUACAAUCUAGACUAAACCUUCGGGUAGAAUUUGCAAUAACAACAACCAUAGCGCACAGAGUACAGUAGAAUUCCUCAGUAUGGUCAUUCAGGAAUCAUGUGGCGCGACGAAAGGUGUUUCCCCUACUUCUGGAAUAGGGGGGAUUCCUUGUUAUUAAGGUGUCAAGUCGCUCGAAGGUUACAAGCGGAAGCAACUGGUACUUCGAUCAUUCAAUUGACUCCUCUCUGCCAGUCUGUGCUUGCUGUAAUGCUGGAAAAAGCAGGGAUGUCGGACGGUUAUACCUACUAUUGGGUUUUUCCGAUCAAUUCUUCGUUGCAAUUGCUUUGAUCCACCCAAAUUCUGUGAGGAUUUGGCUUGUGCGACUUCAAAAUGUGUCACAAAGGUCGAAGGCUCGCUACUUUUGGUGUACCGGGCUGCCGUUUGAAUGGUAAAGGUACCUCAUGUUUUUUGGAUAAGCAAAGAAGAAAAAUAGUGUUGGUAUUCCAUUCAUGAAGCCUCUGCACCCUUUUCAUCAGGUUUAGUUGACAAAGAGAGAUUGUGUUUGUGCACAAACUUGCCUGUUGGUAAAUAGAGUCUUCAUACUCUCGUCGCAUUCACAGAAGUCGUGUAUUAAAAUAGCUGAGCUAGACGAACCACGUCUUACAUGUGUGUGCACAAAAAUAAGAAGACACUCUAAUAGUUUAGUUAGAUGAACCAAGAAGACACUUGAAGUUGGAAGAAUACACAAAUACUGAGCUACAAGUCUUAUGACAUAGAAGCGUGAUUCUCUAACAAGCCAAGGUCGCGGGUGGCCAAUAGAGCCCCACUUCGAUACUUGAAAUGCUAAGGUUAAUGCUAAAUGUGUACCUUUUAAAGUUUGAAAGCUAAACCAUUCACCAUAGAGCAAUCACAAAACAAUGCUACAUUAUUCCAAACCAUAUCCCCCAUGAUUAUCCCUACAUCAAUCCAUGGUUCUUGAGUUUAUCUUUAUACUUGCUUAACUUUUGGAGCAAAAAUACAAAUGAGACAAUAAAUCUUUAUUUAUUUUCAGUAUUUCUCUAUAUAAGUUUCUUCUC